rnacentral:rRNA from 1 species
GACGAACGCUGGCGGCGCGCCUAACACAUGCAAGUCGAACGGAGCUUAAAGAGCUUGCUUUUUAAGCUUAGUGGCGAACGGGUGAGUAACGCGUGAGUAACCUGCCCUAGAGUGGGGGACAACAGUUGGAAACGACUGCUAAUACCGCAUAAGCCCACGGUACCGCAUGGUACUGAGGGAAAAGGAUUUAUUCGCUUUAGGAUGGACUCGCGUCCAAUUAGCUAGUUGGUGAGGUAACGGCCCACCAAGGCGACGAUUGGUAGCCGGACUGAGAGGUUGAACGGCCACAUUGGGACUGAGACACGGCCCAGACUCCUACGGGAGGCAGCAGUGGGGGAUAUUGCACAAUGGGGGAAACCCUGAUGCAGCGACGCCGCGUGGAGGAAGAAGGUUUUCGGAUUGUAAACUCCUGUCGUUAGGGACGAUAAUGACGGUACCUAACAAG